rnacentral:lncRNA from 1 species
CCUUGAAGGAAGCCCUUGGAGGAUCUGAGACCAAGAGGGCCUGAUCAGAUCGGAGUUUUGGAAAGCACCAAAAACCACCCAGAAGACAGCUCAGUGGACCCUAGCAGUGGAUUCUACAUGUCUGCAGAAAAUGAGCAGAAAACAAGCCAGAGUUACAGCUAUCUGCAGAGAGACUACAUCCAGGAGGUCUGAAGACUGAAACAGUAAUAAACCAGCUGUGUUAGAAAUGGAUCACUUAUCAGUGCGUGCCCAAGCCUCCUAAUGCCUCAUGAUGUUUAAUAAUUAAAUUGUGACACCUUGAACCCGCAGCUGACACCAUGAAUCACAGUGGAAUUCUCCAAAUGGAAUGCAGCCACACCUCAGCUUCUGUGCUGCGUGCUGCCACUGAGGACAUUCGAUACCAUUGAAGCCGUCAGAUAGAGGCCGUAUUUCAAAAGGUCUACGGUGGCUCCGUUUCUUCUCUGAGACUUCAAAAGUCCUUCAAGAGUGAGUUCCCGUCUCAUUCUAUGUCCAGGAUGAAGACGGAUGGCCUCUUGGCACCCAUCUCUUUGGCAUGAACGAUGUGGGGAAACGUGAAUGGAAAUGGGGAACUGUUGCUGGCACCCAGAAGUCAUCCGGUCCGGAUGAAGCCAAGUCACAAGGAAGUGCCUCCAAUUAUUCUUCAUAAAUUCCUCUGAGGUUUCACUUCUUGUCCACACAAGACUUUAAUAAAAUGUGGCAUCUAACUGAAUAAAGACUAUCCUUUCGGGAGAAAACCAAGGCUCUGAGACAUUAAGCAAUGUGCCCAAGGACACACAGCUAGUAAGUGGCUGGAUUUGAGCGCAAGCCUACAAGAAACGGUCUCCCGUGAGCUAAAUCAGACAGUUUGGAGGGGACAGCUGAAGGUAGCU